rnacentral:lncRNA from 1 species
GGGAAUUAUGAUGUCCAUGACGAAGCGCAGUUAAGUAAGUCUGGGAGCCAAGGAGGGUGUUGAGAAGGAGUAUCAGAAAGAUCCCCAGGAGCAGGUGACCAUGAUUUGAGUUUGAAGGAAUGAAUAGGUGCUAGAUGGUUAAGAUGGGGACUGUCUGUGUCAAGUGCAGCUACGAACAGUUCGCCUAAGCCGCCAGGCAGAGGUCUGCUGAGAUCACAAGUCCCGCACUUCACAGCAGUCCUCUGCUUUCCGAGUAAAGAAGAGAGUAACUGCUGAGUGUACACACUCUGAGACAGAGUAAAGUGCCACACUCUUGGGGCUGGAGGCAAGCUGGGAGACCAUCUUGUCAAUACAUUUUUAUCUUCAGAGAGGAAGCUGCAGCCCAAGAAGCUUCCGCUUCGUGUCUCCUGGAACAUUCUCUGAGAGCUCUGAGUUGCUACAAGAGAAGUCUGACUAGCCACCUGCACAUGCUCGAGGCCAUGUCUAGGUGUCCAGAUGCCAACCCCCACUGAGUCAAGCCUUUCACCAUUCCCAUCAAUAUGCCAAACAGUGAGUGAGCUAUCUGAGACCAGAAUUCCUCUUUACCAUAUGAAUUCCACCAGAAGUAUGACUUCGGUUCACAUCACAUGGAACAGGAAAAACACCAACCUGAGACCUGCCCAAAUUCCUGAUCCACAAAAUCAUGAGAUAAAAAUAAAAUGAUGGUUGUUUUAAGCUGACUA